rnacentral:rRNA from 1 species
UACGGAGGGGGCUAGCGUUGUUCGGAAUUACUGGGCGUAAAGCGCACGUAGGCGGCUUUGUAAGUUAGAGGUGAAAGCCCGGGGCUCAACUCCGGAAUUGCCUUUAAGACUGCAUCGCUAGAAUUGUGGAGAGGUAAGUGGAAUUCCGAGUGUAGAGGUGAAAUUCGUAGAUAUUCGGAAGAACACCAGUGGCGAAGGCGACUCACUGGCCCGAUACUGACGCUGAGGCGCGAAAGCGUGGGGAGCAAACAGG